CUGUCCAGCUUCCCUUAGCUAAAAAUUAGGCAUUUAUUUUCACCUUUGGCAAUAAUUAAGUAAUGGCAGAGACCAUAUAUCUUAAUCUACUGCUUGUACUUUUUACCACUAAGACACAAAUGCAUUUGGAACAAAAUUAACAACAGAAUGCUGAUUGAUACAUUUCUUCCCUGCUCACAUGGCAUUUAAAAGUCUGUAACAAAGAAACAACACCCCCCCCCAAAAAGCUUAUCUGCUGCUUAGUUAAAACUUAAGUCAAAGAUUCCAGCAAGCUAGAAGCAAGAUUUAUCUGCCCAAGAGACUACCUAGGGAAAAAAAAUUCCUGUAUUUUGUCUAAAAAUUACUUUUGCUUUUAAAGUUCUCUGCAAAUCAUAAACAUUUGAAGGGUGCUUCUCCUUUCCAAACGCAUCCACAAAUGUUAAAAGAAACUGGAAAAAUACUAAAAAAACCACCUGGACAUACAAUAGAAUGACAGAACACCAGCAGCUUUUCCAUGGCACUUCUUCCACUGCCUCUCAGUAAAGCUUGGUUUUGCAACAAAGUUGAUCCGGGAGAAAGGCCUUUCUGCCAGCCUCCAUCAUGGCAAACUAAAGGUUGCAGCAUCAAAUGAAGGCUUAAUCCAUUGUCCUCUGAAUUCAUUAGGUAUUUGUGCCUGGUCUGAAGUAGUAAAGAAACAUUCACAGUAGGUUUAUUUCCUCCCUAUCAGCAGCCUUCUAAAAAUCAGGAGAAAGGUAACUUAUGCCUUAUGCAGCUUUUAGAGAACUAGAUCGGGAAGGAGAGGUAAUGCUGUAUUGCACCAUUCAAACACACAAGUAAAUCCCCUCCAUUAACUCACCCCUCCUCCUGAGGAUCUGGAGUCAAGAGUCCAAGGCCAGCCUAGAACUUAAGGCUUCCCAGUCA